GUCUAUGGCCAUACCACCCUGAACACGCCCGAUCCCAUCUGAAGCAAAGCAGGGUCAGGCCUGGUUAGUACUUGGAUGGGAGACCACCUAGGAAGACCAGGUGCUCUAGACG
rnacentral:rRNA from 1 species